rnacentral:tRNA from 1 species
AAGACGUUAGUAAAAAUUACAAGACUUUGUCAUGGUCUAAUUGCUAGCUAACACAUCUUA